GUGGUUGUGGAGUCGUCGUUGAAAUACCACUCUGGUCGUGCUGGAUGUCUAACCUGGGUCCGUGAUCCGGAUCAGGGACAGUGUCUGAUGGGUAGUUUAACUGGGGCGGUUGCCUCCUAAAGAGUAACGGAGGCGCCCAAAGGUUCUCAGCCUGGUUGGCAAUCAGGUGUUGAGUGUAAGUGCACAAGGGAGCUUGACUGUGAGACCGACGGGUCGAGCAGGGACGAAAGUCGGGACUAGUGAUCCGGCAGUGGCUUGUGGAAGCGCUGUCGCUCAACGGAUAAAAGGUACCCCGGGGAUAACAGGCUGAUCUUCCCCAAGAGUCCAUAUCGACGGGAUGGUUUGGCACCUCGAUGUCGGCUCGUCGCAUCCUGGGGCUGGAGUCGGUCCCAAGGGUUGGGCUGUUCGCCCAUUAAAGCGGUACGCGAGCUGGGUUUAGAACGUCGUGAGACAGUUCGGUCCCUAUCCGCUGCGCGCGUAGGAAUAUUGAGAAGGGCUGUCCCUAGUACGAGAGGACCGGGGACGAACCUCUGGUGUGCCAGUUGUCCUGCCAAGGGCAUGGCUGGUUGGCUACGUUCGGAAAGGAUAACCGCUGAAAGCAUCUAAGCGGGAAGCCUGCUUCGAGAUGAGUAUUCCCACCAACUUGAUUGGUUAAGGCUCCCAGUAGACGACUGGGUUGAUAGGCCAGAUGUGGAAGCCCUGUAGGGGUGGAGCUGACUGGUACUAAUAGGCCGAGGGCUUGUCCUCAGUUG
rnacentral:rRNA from 1 species